rnacentral:tRNA from 2 species
GCGGGUAGUAGUCCAAGUUGGCAGGACAUCAGCGCCGGAGAUUAUGUGCCGGUGUUGUACGGCGCCGGUUCGAUUCCGGCCUACCCGCACCA